rnacentral:rRNA from 1 species
AUUGAACGCUGGCGGCAGGCCUAACACAUGCAAGUCGAACGAGUGGCGGACGGGUGAGUAAUGCCUGGGAAUCUAGCUGAUGGAGGGGGAUAACUACUGGAAACGGUAGCUAAUACCGCAUACCAUAGGAUGAGCCCAAGUGGGAUUAGGUAGUUGGUGGGGUAAAGGCUCACCAAGCCGACGAUCCCUAGCUGGUCUGAGAGGAUGACCAGCCACACUGGAACUGAGACACGGCCCAGACUCCUACGGUAGGCAGCAGUGGGGAAUAUUGCGCAAUGGGCGCAAGCCUGACGCAGCCAUGCCGCGUGAAUGAAGAAGGCCUUCGGGUUGUAAAGUUCUUUCGGUAGCGAGGCGUUAACUACAGAAGAAGCACCGGCUAACUCCGUGCCAGCAGCCGCGGUAAUUC